rnacentral:lncRNA from 10 species
GCGACCUCUGAGGGCACUACUAUAGGAAGCUGAGGUUGAGAUGACUUCCAGUCCCUUCACCGUGGGUGGAGGGUUUUGACUUUCAUUUUUUCCUUAGUAACAAUGGUCCACUGUGUUCGGUGAGCUACAGGAUUCAUAGUCUUUCCCUCAGCAGCCUAAAAUCUUUGUUCCAAAUGAGAGAUGAAUCCAGGCCGUGUUCAUGCCUUUCCUGCCUUCUCUGCACCUGCACCUCUAGGAGACCCUCUCCAAUCCACUGUGCUGCCUCCAGUCACUCUUGAUCCUCAAAGUACAGUGGUCUAACUAUUGAUCAUGGGGCAAAAUUUGGGACCAGCAAAGAGAUACAGGUCAGGCGUGGUGGUUCAAGCCUGUAAUGCCAGUGCUUUGGAAGGCCAAGGUGGGCAGAUCGCUUGACCUCAGGAGUUCCAGACCAGCCUGGCCAACAUGGUGAAAUCCCAUCUCUACUGAAAAUACAAAAAUUAGCUGGGCAUGGUGGUGAGUGCCUGUAAUUCCAGCUACUCUGGAGGCUGAGGCAGGAGAAUCACUUGAACCUGGAAGGUGGAGGUUACAGUGAGCCGAGACUGUGCUACUGCACUCCAGCCUGGGCAUCAGAGCCAGACUCUGUCAAAACACACACACACACACACACACACACACACACACACGCACACACAGAAACACAGAUACAAUGAUUCUUGAAAAUAUUGGACAGUAUAUCUAUUUUUUUGUUAAAUGGAUUGCAGUGGUGUUGUGAGGAAAACAUUUUUGGGGAGUAACAGCUAAGACUGUACUAUCAAUAUCUGAUAAAUCUCUGUGUUAUUUUUCAUUAAUAUUUUACAUGGCAUGCUGAAAAAUACCCAUCCAAUGAAAUCUCCUUACAGAUUUCUGCUCAGUUGUCUCUGGGGUCCUUUAAAUUGUCCCAGAAAUCCAAAAAAUCACGGCUACUUCAAUGGAAAACACAAGUCCUAGUUCUGGUGACAAAAUAUCUUCCUGACUUAAAAAUUAGAGACGGGGUUUCACCGUGUUAGACAGCAUGGUCUCGAUCUCCUGACCUCGUGAUCCGCCCGCCUCGACCUCCGAAAGUGCUGGGAUUACAGGCGUGAGCCACCGCGCCCGGCCUCCACUUUUCAUCUUCCAGAAAACAUAAUCUUCUUGAUACCAUCAUUUUGGAGAUGAGAAAUGGCAACUACUUCAAAAUGAAUCUUCAACAGCAGUUGGAGGAGAUUUAAAGACAAUGCAUGCAUGAAGAUGGGCGUGAGAUGCCAGUAACUCCAUGAAUUAGAGUUUCACAUAAGCCAAACCCUCACAGAAUGUCUGCAAAAAAACCCAAGGAAGACGGGGAUAGUUUGACCUCAGCUGUCCACUGCUAGUGGAGAGUAUUUAAGAUAAUCAUUUUAGUAACUUUAGGAUACAAUUAUUUUUAGGAUCUUCCUGUGCUAUUGGCAGUGGGCUGUUUCUCAGUUUGCUGUUGAUUUUUGGUCAAUAGCUGUUACAUGUUACAUGAUCAGAUGUUAUAAUCAAUUAGUUUUAUAUUUUUUCUUUUAAUUGUUUUCCAUAUUGAAACCCACGUGUCAUAAUCUAAUAAUGCUGGAGCUGCAGAGUGUCUCUGAGUUUGAUUUUUGCAAAGACAUUGAUGCAUUUCAAGAAACUAAAGAUAAUAAUGGCAUGGAUAAUAAUUAUACAUUACAUUAAAAAGAAUUAACAGGCGUGGGGUGGUGACUCACGCUUGUAAUCCCAGUACUUUGGGAGGCUGAGGCAGGUGGACCACCUGAGGUCAGAAGUUUAAGACUAGCCUGGCCAACAUGGUGAAAACCUGUCUCUACUAAAUUACAAAAAUAAGCCGGGCAUAUUGGCUCAUGCCUGUAGUCCCAGCUACUUGGGAGGCUGAGAAACAAGAAUCAUGUGAACCUGGGAGGCAGAGGCUGCAGUGAGCCGAGAUCACACCACUGCACUCCAGCCUGGGUGACAGAGAGAGACUCUGUCUCAAAAUAAAUAAAUAAAUAAAUAAAUAAAUAAAUAAAUAAAAAUAAAAGGAAUUAACAAAGAAUUUCUUGAUGGUAAAAUCACCCGUGUGUUUAUAUCAGUGGCCUUUAUGGCUCUGUGUGUCUGUAUGGUGUGGAGAGUGUAUCCUGAGCUAUGUUCCUCUUAUUUUACCUAUAAGCACAUGAUCUGCUUUAUUAUUAUAUUUAAAUAUCCUUAUUGAAUUAUAGUAUGAUGUGCAUUCACAUACAUUUUAUGUAUUUCAAUAAAGACAAAGCGGAGGUUCAACUUAUCCCUUUGUAUGUAACUAACUGUCAUUGUCUGUUUGCCUCAUGGAUCUUAAAAGCCUUCAAGGUGAAGACCAAGCUAAAAUUAUUGAUGUAUCCCCAAUACUCAUAAUAACAUCCUGUCCAAAGUGAUAGCUUAAUAACAGUUUGAAGAGUAAAUUAAUAACUUCAAGAUUAUUUUAUGUAUUUGAAGCUUAGGCAAAGGAGAGUCAAUGAUGCAUUAUCAGAAGACCAUAAAGGAUAUCAAUCUUGCAGACCUGGGAAACCAAGAUAAAUAAAAUGUAUGCUUUUCUAUCAUUCAUAGGGGUGCCCUGUGUGGGAUGUUUUGGCCGUUUUUAAACCUGACAAAAUCUGGCAAAGUUUGCCUUCUCUUGAGGUAUUCCUGGCCCUCCACCCUCCUGGCUUCCUGUAGAUUGCACCCACCCUUGUCCCAGAAGAAUGAAUUACUCACUUCCAGAGAAAAGAUAAUCAAAGUGUGGUAUAGAAUGACGCUGGAUGAGAAUGUUUGUUUCUCCAUAAUUCUGUAACGUCUUCGAGAGUUUGGAAUUUUAAUACCCCACCCUAGUUCACUUCCUAGCACAUAGUUGGUAUUCAAAUAAUUUCUUAAAGCAUAGUGUUCAAUAAAUCUUUAGAUAAAAAAAUUGUGAAAAGUAAAAAGUAUAUUUUAAUAGGAGUAAAACUAGACAUUAUGAUAGAAUCUGAAUAAAAAGGGAAGCAUGACCUUUAGCCUGGGGAAGAAUAUCCUAUAAGAAUUCCAUAGAAUAUCUCUUAGUAAAUGUAGUAAAAACACCCAUUGAUCAAAAGAAAUUGGAUCUAUGGCUCAUAAUAACAUCUCAUUGAUUGAAAAGCACUUUGUAAUAGCUUUCUUCCAUGUGAUAUCUGUCAGGCAUUAACCUUUCAGCCUCCUGAUCAUGUGAAAGGAAUUCUUUGCUUAUGCCACUGCUCAUAUGACCCCAUCCAUGACAUUUCAUAAAUUGCAUCUAUUGAACAGAGAUUUUGGGUUUUCUGGAACUGAAAAAUCCAUUGCCAAAGCAAGGCAUUUCUCUAUGGAUUGUAUGAUAGAAUUUAGCCAUAUGCUCUAGAGACCUGGAGCUAUUUUAGCAAACUUGACUACCUCUGAAAAAUGACUACUUACAAAGAGAUAAGUAAGUUUCAAAUUUUAGAACAUGUAGGGUUCACAUAGAAAUACAUUUAGAAGCAAUCAUAUAUUUAUUUACUCUUUUAAGGACACAUUUAAAAACAUAAAGUGUUCCUCUUAUUUAAAGCAAUGAGUUAAAAUUAUACCAAAUUCUGUACAUAAAAAAGUGAAUAUGCUAAUAAAAUAGUCCACCAAGUUUUAUUAUUAACACUAGGAAAUCAAUCUGCAUGUCCUAACAAAUAAAUAACAAAAUAGAUGAGCAUUUUAACAAAAUAUAAUCUCUUGUAAUUCCAGCUUCAAGCUUGUGUUGCUUUCUUAAGCAGAAAU